UUGGGAGCCGCGUCUGUGAUAGCUCGCCUUGCGCGGCGGACGUGCGGCCUGUGGUAAAGAGCAAAGCCUGAGGUAGAUUACCCCUCCCAUCGAAUAUGUUAGUUUCCUGCUUACCGCGUAAACAACCCGCUCAACAAUAUAGUCUGCCUGGCAACUGAUGAUGUUAGCCAAUCAGCUUGCCUUGCUUACUUUAACAUGAUUGGACACUGUACCCGUAUAUAUACCGGUGCCACCCCUGGGCGGAAGAAGAAGCCAGGUAGAAGCCCGGAAGUAGAAGCCCAAAAGGAGCCGCGGAGAGCGGACCGGUAGAGGCUUUGGGACAGACUGAAGCACAAAAGGAGCCGCGGGGAGCGGACCAGAGGAGGCUUCAGCUGGGAGAACCCAGGGCAGGCUGUACGGAGAAGGAAAAUAAAAAGAAAAGGUUGUCCACUACCAGACUUUGUCGUGUGUCCUUCCUGCCGGCCGGGAGCGGACAUCGACAUUUGGAGGCCCGCCCGGGGACUGAUCACCCCCGAGACAUGGAAGUGGACAACGCUCCAGUACAGAGCUGCGAGACAGGAACCGGGACGAGAACCACUGUGGAUACCGGAGAGACUGACACGGGCAACAAAGCCCUCGACUGAAGAUCAGACCUGCCCUACUGGAGAUCCAUCACAGACCAACCAACAA